rnacentral:rRNA from 1 species
AUGGCGGAGGCUGUUAUCGGGCAGCUGGUGGUGAAGCUCGGCGGGGCACUGGCGAAAGAGGCGGCAACCUACGGCGGGGCGCUGCUGUGCAAGGAAGCUGCGGCCUUGAGGGGUCUCUUCGGCAAGAUCCGACAGUCCAAGGUGGAGCUGGAGAGCAUGCAAGCCUACCUGCAGGAGGCAGAGCGGUUCAAGGACACCGACAAGACCACCGCCAUCUUCGUCAGCGAGAUCAGGCGCCUGGCCUUCCAUAUCGAGGACGUCGUCGAUGAGUUCACCUACAAGCUGGAGGACUGCAAGCAAGGAGGGUUUGCCGGCAAGAUGAAGAAGAGGCUCAAGCAUAUCAAGACCUGGCGGCGCCUGGCGGCCAAGCUCCAAGAAAUCGAAGCCCAGCUGCAGGAUGCCAACCGGAGGAAGAAGGAUUAUGCCGUCACCGGCAGAUCUGCUUCUGCUGCCGGAUCGACAAGAGAAGGUCAAGCUUUGCACUUCACCAGGGAUGAGGACCUUGUGGGGAUCGAAGAGAACAAGGAGAGGUUGAUACAGUGGAUGGACGGCUGUGGUGAUGGUCUGGAGCAGAGCAACAACAAAGUCGCCCUGGUGUGGGGAAUGCCUGGUGUUGGUAAAACCACUCUUGUUGAUCAUGUGUACAACACCGUGAAAGAGGAUUUCGAUGUUGCGGCGUGGAUAACUGUGUCAGAGAGUUACUGUACUAAGGAUCUACUGAAGAAGAUCGCCGCCCAGUUCAGCAUCACAGUCGACGUCGCCAACAUUGAGAUGAGAGGCCUAGCAAAGUCCAUCCACAACUACCUUCAAGGUAAAAGGUACAUUUUAGUCUUGGAUGAUGUUUGGGCUGAAGGCUUGUGGUCGGAGAUAAGGGAUGUCUUCCCAACAUCUAACUGCACCGGCCGAGUUGUUAUGACAUCAAGAAAGCAGACAGUGUUGGCAACUAGGGAGUUAGCAAUUCACUUGGAACCACUACAAGCACAUCACUCCUGGGUGUUGUUCUGCAAAUCGGCAUUUUGGAAUGCUUGUGACAAAAAGUGCCCGUUGGAGCUGCAGGAAUUGGCCCGGAAGUUCAUAGCAAAGUGUCAAGGCUUGCCUAUUGCUAUUGCAUGCAUUGGCCGCCUACUCUCCUGCAAACCCCAAAAUUCCACUGAAUGGGAGGAUGUGUACAGGUGUUUGGACUCGCAAUUUGCGAAAGAUGUGAUCCCUGACGCUCAUUUGAUCCUAAAGGUCAGCUUGGAGGACUUUCAGUAUGAUAUGAAGAAUUGUUUCCUACACUGUGCAUUGUCCCCAGAAGAUUAUGUAUUAAAGAGGAGAAGAACAGUGAGGAAAUGGAUUGCAGCAGGGUUUAUCACGAAUAAGGAAGAGAACAGAACAUUGGAGGAAGUAGCAGAGGGAUACCUGGUUGAGCUUGUGAACCGGAGUCUAUUACAGGUAGUGGAAAGGAAUUAUGCUGGACGACUUAAGGAAUGUCGGAUGCAUGAUGUCAUACACCUUCUUGCCCUCAACAAAGCCAAGGAGGAAUGCUUUGGUAAAGUUUAUGAUAGCUCUACUGCUACUGGGUCAUUAUCUAUUGAGGGCGCACGCCGCAUAUCUGUUCAGGGGGAAAACCAUGAACACCUGAGCCGAUCUGGUGCCACACAGCUCCGUGAGCUCCAAGUAUUUGAGAGGUCUAUCAACAUUGAUCAGUUGAAACCUAUCAUAACAUCUUCAAAUUUGCUGACGACGUUGGAUCUGCAAGGUACUUGUAUCAAAAUUCUGCCCAAUGAGGUAUUUGACUUGUUUAAUCUGCGUUAUUUGGGUCUUAGACAUACCGAGAUCGAAAGCCUGCCUAAAGCAGUGAGGAGGUUACGAAACUUGGAAGUCUUGUAUGCUGCGCAUUCUAAGCUGACGUACUUGCCAAAGAGUGUUGUAAAGCUUCAGAAGUUGAGGAUUGCGGGCUCUUCAGACCAUGAAAGCCACUCCAGAGUUUCUGCGUGA